rnacentral:lncRNA from 1 species
CGCGUUUCCGAUCUAACUAAGUUUUGGUCUUUUGGGAGAUUCUCUUUGUACUCCGCCUUUCGGUAUUAAUAAAUUAUUUGCUCCGUCUUCGCCCGUGGACGUAGGCCGUUGGCCGAACCACGUAAUUAUCGGUGUGUUCUUUCCGCUUAUCUUUUCUUUUCUUGCAUUAAAUUAUUUUCUGGAUCUAUUUUUCGCCGUUCCGAUCUUAACAAGUUCUUUUGUCCUAUUAUCAAGGUUCAAAAU